rnacentral:tRNA from 1 species
UGUUCUGUAGCUUAGUUGGUUAAAGCGCCGGUCUAGCGUACACGGAGCCGUGAGUUCGAGUCUCACUAGAACGC